GUGUUGUGUGUGUGUGUGUGUGUGUGUGUGUGUGUGUGUGUGUGUGUGUGUGUGUGUGUGUGUGUGUGUGUGUGUGUGUGUGUGUGUGUGUGUGUGUGUGUGUGUGUUGUGUGUCCAGGGAACAUAAUGUGUCUGCUGCUGUAGAAGAGUAGAAACAGGAAGCUGUAUUUGAUUUAGAGCAGAUUUUAGUAACUGCGAAUCUAGUUAUUAUAUAUUGACACUGUAAUAUACACACUGUCCUUGUUGACGGCGGUUCAACCUUAUCAUUGAUGUGGAGACAUAAUAUGUUACGUCUGACCGUGACGAUUAUACUGGCCAGAUGUAGCUGACUGACUGAAACCGGUGAACCGACAACUUCUUAUUCAUACCAAUAUAAUACGCUUGGAUGACGCAAGUCAGGUGAUUUCCCGUUUAAAGAGGUGUAUAACGGUGUUUGAGGUCGAGCGACAGCAGCGUCAAGCCAGCGGCGGUGGACGUUUCUCCGCCUGAAGCAGCAACGGGAGAGCAGGACGGGAGCCGCGAUCCAGCAGCGGGAGUUCCCUUCUGAUGGAGGCGGUUAACGGACAGGAGACAGCAGCACCGAGAGCAUCGACCCGGGAGACCACGGGAGAAUAAAGACGGUUCCGUUGUCCUAGGAAUAGAGGCUCAGACGGCGUCGUAAGGAAAGUGUACCAUAAUGAGUACAGCAGGAGUGGAGCGACGGAGGCCAACCCCAGCACAGACCCCUGAGGAGAGAGAGGGAUGGGGCCAGACAGGGAGAGAGGAGAGAGAGGGAUGGGGCCAGACAGGGAGAGAGGAGAGAGAGGGAUGGGGCCAGACAGGGAGAGAGGAGAGAGAGGGAUGGGACAGACAGGGAGAGAGGAGAGAGAGGGAUGGGGCCAGACAGGGAGAGAGGAGAGAGAGGGAUGGGACCAGACAGGGAGAGAGGGAGAGAGGGAUGGGGCCAGACAGGGAGAGAGGAGAGAGAGGGGAUGGGGCCAGACAGGGAGAGAGGAGAGAAAGGGAUGGGACCAGACAGGGAGAGAGGAGAGAGAGGGAUGGGGCCAGACAGGGAGAGAGGAGAGGGAGGG
ensembl:lncRNA